rnacentral:tRNA from 1 species
GGGUCAGUAGCUUAACUGGUAGAGCCCUCGUCUCCAAAACGAGAAGGUGCAUGUUUGAAUCAUGUCUGGCCCG